CAGCCGCCGCGGUAAUACAGAGGCCUCAAGCGUUGUUCGGAUUCAUUGGGCGUAAAGGGUGCGUAGGUGGCUUGGCAAGUUGAAGGUGAAAUCUCGGGGCUUAACCCCGAAACUGCCUUCAAUACUGCUAGGCUCGAGGACUGUAGAGGAGAAUGGAAUUCACGGUGUAGCAGUGAAAUGCGUAGAUAUCGUGAGGAAGACCAGUGGCGAAGGCGAUUCUCUGGGCAGUUCCUGACACUGAGGCACGAAGGCCAGGGGAGCAAACGGGAUUAGAUACCCCCGUAGUCCCUGUCUCUUAUAC
rnacentral:rRNA from 1 species